CUGGAUCAGAGCGAUCUCCCCAGCCAGGGAAUGAAGAGCCCUCCCAUGCCCAGAUGUGUUCAAAGCACUGGCCAGUGGCCAUGCGGUAUCAGUCCAUCCCACUCCUCAACCAGGGUGGGAGGAGCACAAAGUGAGAUUCACAGGCAGCUGAGCAGUGAGUGAGACAGAGAUGGUGAGUCUUCAGGCAAAGCAGGACCUGAAAAUUCCCUUAACCAGGGGAGUGGUGAGAUUGGACGCUGCACAUUUU
rnacentral:lncRNA from 1 species